GUCUCUUCGGAGACAUCUUCCUAAAUUGGAACAAUACGGAGAAGAUUAGCAUUACCCCUGUGGAAGGAUGACAUGCACAAAUUGAGGACUCGUCCAAAUUUUU
rnacentral:snRNA from 2 species